CGGUGUCUAAGAAAUCUCGCAUUGCCAGACCUUCUUCCAUAGCGCUGCAGAGGAGGGUCUGGCAAGUCGACACAGCAUUCCGUGACGGGAGACGAACAUGUUCUGGUUUAUUGGCAUUUCUUUAAACCGAUCACAAUCGCUAAGCGCCAGACGGAGCAACGA